rnacentral:rRNA from 1 species
UACGGGGGGGGCAAGCGUUGUUCGGAUUUACUGGGCGUAAAGGGCGCGUAGGCGGCCUCUGCAAGUCGACUGUGAAAUCUCCGGGCUUAACCCGGAAAGGUCAGCCAAUACUGCAGGGCUAGAGUGCAGAAGGGGCAACUGGAAUUCUCGGUGUAGCGGUGAAAUGCGUAGAUAUCGAGAGGAACACCUGCGGCGAAGGCGGGUUGCUGGGCUGACACUGACGCUGAGGUGCGAAAGCGUGGGGAGCAAACAGG